GGUAGCUGAGGUUUCACUGCGCUGCUGAGAGAAGAGCUGUAGAAGAUCAGAAGUAAACACGCUGACUUGAAGACAGUGAAGACUAAUGAAGUAGAACGUCAGAAACCUACUGUGAAGGAAACUGAAAUUAACACAGCCCUUCCCAAGCAAUUCUUCGGGAAAAGAGAAGAAAAACUUCCUUACAAAGCAUUUUGAGGAUUUGUGAAAAAUUGACAAACAGAGGUUCAAGAAAUGGAAUUCCUUCAGUUUUCUAAAGUGUCCUAGCUGCAACCAGCAGGUGCCUCAUGUCGUGAAGGCUGUGAAGACUUCACUCCUGGCUCCAUCCUAGAGGAGAUGGUGGCUUCUGAGAGCCUCAAAAGAUCACCACGCUAUGGAAAGAAACAAAAGGAAGGAAGAAGAAUGAGAAUACCAUCCUGCCACACACAGGGAGACAUAUGGCACACUUGA
rnacentral:lncRNA from 1 species